AGCUGGGCAGUGUAAAUGUCAAAUGUGACGGUCAACAAGUCGGCUGGCGGCUGUGCGUGAUUUUACUGUUGGUGCGAUUGUAAAGACACGUCUACAUUUUUGAAUAAAUUGCCAUCGGGGGUGGAAUUGUGUGGAUCCGGGUGUAGUGAUUGUGCGUGAGAGAUGCGUAUCACGAAUCUACGAAAGGGGCGCAUCGCUAGGAUAGCUGCUUGUGUUUUUAUUUUGGUGCCCCUUCUCUACCUCCUUCUGACAUGGUCUGACGGCCACAAGAGAGCCAAGGCAGUGCUCCAGAGUCGCUUUGGGGCCCUCACAAGGCCCAAGGAAGUUCCCCGGCUGAUUGAAGGAUGGGGUAACUUUGAGCCCAAGACCACGGUCAAGAGAACGGGUCCUGGGGAGAAUGGGGAAGCUUACAAUCUGCCAGAGAGUAUGCAGAAUGCAGCUUCAUCGUCAGAGAUGGAGUACGGAAUGAAUAUUGCGUGUUCAGAUGAGAUUUCUCUGGACAGAUCCAUCAAAGAUACGCGAUUGGAGGAGUGCAAACACUGGGAUUACCCUGUACAUCUGCCCAAAACCAGUGUUAUCCUGGUUUUUCACAAUGAAGGCUGGUCAGUUUUGCUGAGAACUGUCCAUUCGGUGAUCAAUCGAACACCUGAUCAUAUCCUCCAUGAGAUUCUAUUAGUGGAUGACUUCUCGGAUAAGCAGAAUCUCAAGGGAGAUCUGGAGACGUACAUAAGGCGGUUUAAUGGGAAAGUGAGGCUGAUUAGGAAUACUGAGCGAGAAGGAUUGAUCAGGACGAGGUCGAGGGGUGCUAAGGAGGCUACGGGAGAGGUAAUUGUCUUCCUGGAUGCUCACUGUGAGGUCAAUACAAAUUGGCUUCCGCCACUGUUGGCACCUAUUUAUCGGGAUCGGACGGUGAUGACAGUUCCUGUCAUUGACGGUAUUGACCAUAAGACUUUUGAGUACCGUCCGGUUUAUGCCGAUGGGCAUCACUAUCGGGGAAUUUUUGAAUGGGGAAUGCUGUAUAAAGAAAAUGAGGUGCCGAAGCGCGAACAAAAGUCCCGGAAGUACAAUAGUGAACCGUACAAGAGUCCAACGCAUGCCGGAGGGCUGUUUGCCAUCAACCGGGAGUAUUUUCUGGAGCUGGGAGCUUAUGAUCCGGGCCUCUUGGUUUGGGGCGGUGAGAACUUUGAGCUGAGCUUUAAGAUUUGGCAAUGUGGAGGGAGUAUUGAAUGGGUUCCGUGUUCGAGAGUUGGACAUGUCUACAGGGGCUUUAUGCCUUACAACUUUGGGAAGUUGGCCAGCAAGAAGAAGGGUCCACUGAUCACGAUAAACUACAAGAGAGUGAUUGAAACGUGGUUUGAUGACAAGUACAAGGAAUACUUCUAUACGAGAGAACCCUUGGCUCAGUUCCUGGACAUGGGAGACAUCAGUGAGCAGUUGGCGCUGAAGGAACGUCUGCAGUGCAAGAGCUUCCAGUGGUACAUGGACAAUGUGGCGUACGAUGUCUUUGACAAAUUCCCUCCACUCCCAGCCAAUACGCAUUGGGGCGAAUUGCGAUCUGUGGCCCAGGAUACGUGCCUGGAUGCCAUGGGCAGAUCCCCGCCGUCCAUCAUGGGCCUCCAACACUGCCAUGGCUACGGGAAUAAUCAACUGAUGCGACUGAAUGGGGCUGGGCAGUUGGGAACGGGAGAGAGAUGCGUCGAGGCGGAUAGGCAAGGCAUAAAAUUGGCCUACUGCAGAUUGGGAACAGUCGAUGGACCCUGGCAGUAUGACAGCAAAACUUCAACACUUCUCCACCGAGUGCACAAAAAGUGCAUGGCUCUGCAUCCGCAGACACUGCAACUCUCCCUGGCCGCCUGCGAUCCCAACAAUGCCUAUCAACAGUGGAAAUUCAAGCAGAUCCAGCCGAACUACUAAGAAACAGCCUUCCAAGCCCGGCUGACAAGACACAUUCCAGUAGGAGACACUCGUCGUAUUAGUUAGAACAAAUGAAUAAUCAAUAAUCUUGUAGCAAUGUACUUAAAAGGAAACUGUCGAAAAAAGAAAAAAUAAUCCCCAAAAGUGCCUUCAAAAACAAAAAAAUCCUUCGCAAAAAUGAAGAAAUUAAAAGUGAGACUGUGUUUCCUUAACAAAUCCGAAGGAAUUCUUCCCAAUAGUUGUGUGUGUGAUCUUAAAAAAAAUGUUUUUUAAGUCUUCUUUUUUGUACAUAAAUUUUUGUUAAAUGUCGUAUUUGUUAACCUCGUUCUUUUUUCUUCUUGUCUGAGAUAAAGUUAUAAAAUAAAUCCAAUGAUCAAUAUUCUUCUCAAAAAAAAAACAAAUAAUUAAAAUUAUUACUAGAGUGAUGGAAUUGAUAUUUCUUAAGAAGAAUCUUUGAAAAAGAAAAAAAAUUAAUGCAGUAUAUUUAAUCGUAUUAUUUUUAAUUUUUUUUAUUAUCUUUAUAGUGUUGAAGAUGGUGAAUUGCUUAUAAAGGGUUGCUUUUACAAUUCAGGGAAAAUAUUGUGUUUGUUUUUUUGACAAUUUUUCUUUGCGUGAUAAAAGACAGAGCGGUGCCUUUUAUCAUUGCAAUUCACCAUCUUCACACAUUUUCAUUUUAUUGUUGCGAUGAGAUUGGAGUUUAUUCUCUGGUGUUGAGAGAAAUCAUCCCAUCCUUCUGCUCCAUAUCAAAGAUUUCUGCGCCAGAGUGAAACUCUCAACGGAGACAAGACAUAUUGUAGAGCGUAUCUUUAUGAGUGGUAUACAAUAAAUUUUAAAUUAAAAUAUUAUAGACGUAACACAUUUCCAACUGACUAGAGAGUAGUUUACUUGAUAGAAAAAAAACGUACGAAAAGAGAUCAAAUAAAGAAUAGAGAAAAAUUAUAAAUUACA